AAGAGGUUAGUUUAUUACACUAAAACAUUAAUUUGUCAAGUUAAAAAAAUCUAUUAAUACUUCUUA
rnacentral:tRNA from 1 species